rnacentral:lncRNA from 1 species
CCUGAAUGUGCCCGCCUCCUGGAGAGCGUCCUGGUUGCAGGCUUCCCUUGCCAACCACUCCAGAGGGUGAAACUGGCUCUCUUCUUGCUUCUUUAAAAAGACACUGAGGCGCAUCUUGGAUACCGUGGCACGCGUCAUCCUCAUUCAAGAGGCCCAGGAGGAGCACCACCCUCCGCAUAUUGCGCGUGCAGCUCUCGUUCUGGUCUCUGAGCAUGCCCACGGCGCUCUGCACACAGCUUCUCAGCAGCCUGGUGGUGUCCAGGAUCGACACCUGUUGGUGGAGACGGUUGGGUCAUCCGUUUCUGCCACUGACACAGUGGGCAAAAGCCAAACCGCCCGUAUGCGAUGAGGGUCUCAAUGCAGCAAACAGCACAGGGCGGCGGUCCUCACGGACAAAGAAGAGACGCCGACCUCCGCCCUGCACCCCCCAAACUGCCGGUGCAGAUGCCCUUGACCCCCAGUAACCAGCAACAAGACCGUCACUGUGUGAGGAAAGUGGGGCGCCAUCCUCACCCCUGCACAGCGGCGGCGACUCCUCUAGCUCCCAAUGCAAAAGCGUUUAAAGAUGCAGCUCAGAAGCAUCACCAGCAGCACAAGGGGAGGUCCCAAGAACCAGAACUUACAUCACUGCCUCCGAGUUCAGAGGUUUCCUUUCCCACCUUCUCAGAACUUUCUGUUUCCAUGGCCUCCUCUGCCACCUCUGCCACCUCCCCUGAUGUGCUGGCCUCCGUCUCCAUCGCCUCCUCAUGGCCGUCUUCCGCCCGGUGUUCCAAGCC